rnacentral:lncRNA from 1 species
GGUUUAGCGGAUGGAUUGAUAGCAGGGAGCUUGAUAGGAUCAGCUGGAAAGCUUCCAAAACAGUACAUGCAGGCUAUUUUUGCUGGAACUGCCUCUUCAGGUAACAUUUUUACUGUUUAGUUCCCAUCAUGAUUCUCCUAUUGCUUUUCUGAAUCAAGCAAUCAUCUAAGAGUAGUUUUAAACUACAUCAAUGACAAGAAUAAAGUGACUUUUACAUAAACCAUAUACGAGAAAACAUGCCAAAAGCUAAUAUCAGACCUAGUGACCUUCACAGUGUGUCUAGAAAAGAUUCUUCAGAGUAUGAAAUUCAUUCCAUGAAGUGCAACCUUUAUUCUUCUAAUCACCAUAUUUCCUGUAAGAAUGACCGUAACAGUUGCUGUGUGAUCUGCAAUGUUAUGUGACUCCAAUAUCUGACUAAAUUCGACAUACAGG